UUUAACCCGGUUCCUCUGAGCCUCUUUCCUCCAGGAGAAAGUCUGGUCUGGUCAGCAGCCACCUCUGAGGUCUGUGCUACACCACCAGCAACUGGGCUGCGCACCUGGUGUGUAUCGAGCUGGACAUCCUUAUUGAUUACUGUAGGGAGGAGUGGUCCCAGACAUUGUGGCUCCCUCACUGCAUCCUUAGCAUAGAAAGCAAGGACCAUAAGGAAAGUGAAGUAAAGCAAUUUGAACACUUGGCCCCCAGCAUGACCUUUGAUUAUGAGAGGAAUACAGCAGUGCUCAUAUCCCAGGCCUCUUCGUUCCCUCUCAACAUGAUGAAUGGGACACCAUGAGCUGGACAGAACAACCAUUUGAGGAUCCAGGAGACGUUGCUGGAUCACCCUGUAGACCAGAGACACCCUACAGCUCCUGCUGCUGCAGCUCUCUAAUGACUCGCACACAGGAGACUGAAAACUGCGCCUGUAGCUCGGCCAGCGAGCAAGCCGACCAGCAAGCCGGCUCCGCGCUUUCUUGUCCCUCAGAUCUCCUUAAAGCUGCUCAGUGGGAGGUAACCUCCACACACUGUGAUCUGAAUAACUGGCUCAUGUGUUUGCUGAUUUGUCGGCCAAAUCAUUCCAACAGGAGUGCUUUUUGAUACAGUUCAACUAAAUGUAUUAGCUCAUUGUGUGAAAGCAGCAUGUCCCUCUUUAUUGUCUAGGGGUGAAACAUCACUUAGUGCUGGAGUCGAGUAGUAAUUAGUCACAAGGGACAGUCUAUAGUAAAAAUAAAAUGGCUUGUUUGGUAUUGAAUUAACUUGAACAAUGGCAUGUGAAGGCACGAGCAUCAGCAGGCAAAGAACAAAAGCUAAAAAUGCUAUCAAUAUGCAAAAUUGACUGAUAUGUUUAUUCCAGGCCUGUUUUGUUGUGUUUAAAGUAGAACUCUUUUUCUUUUUUUUUGGUAAGAUACAGCGAGGCUAUUGGGAUAGUCAUUAGAAAUUCACAAACAAAAUAAUGAUUGUAUCAUAUUUAUCAGAUGUUGCUAUUUAUUGCAAGCAAGCUGUUUUAUUUUUUCAUCCCACUCUGGCAGUUCCACGGAGAGUAGGACAAGCUGCUCUCCUCUCACAUCUGCCUGUGUACACCCUGUUUAGUGAAUUCACUUUGCCAUGAUCGAAGGAGCUGCAAGGUUUUGAACUCCAACCACAGUUAAAAGACAAUGUAGUUGCGGUUGCAUGUGACUUUGAAAACUCAAAUCUUCUCUUUUUUCUGAAGGGAGCACUGACAAGACAGGGAGCGAGGCUCUCUUUCGUGCAGUUUUGUUUUUCCGUUAAAAAUCAAAAGACGUUGCUCGCUGUAUUUGCCCCUAAUCAGCAUGCAGCUGCUUUGGUGGUGGAUUGCAGAGGUGUAAACCAUGCUCUUUUCCUGUAUGGUGUUGUACAUCUUUCACAAACGACUGUUUUUUGUACUGUAAAUCUUUCAAAAAGGGGAAAAAAGAACAAAGCCACGUCUUGGAAAUCAACUGUAAUUCAUUUCCACAAACGUAUAGGUUAUUUUCAUCUGAUAUCAAAUAUUUGUGAAUCAUUUGCUAUGCUGUGAUGCUGGUAAACCACUGUGCUUCAUAUGCCUGAUAUACUCCGCAUAACAUACCAUUUAUGUCCUAUAAAUUAAUC